CGGCCUCCGCCGUUGUCGUCGUAGUCGCGUCCUAGUCAUCGUCGUCGUGCCGUUAUCCGUCUCGCCUCUUCCACCUCCUAUAUCGCCGUCGUGAUCGUGGUUACCGUGUUCCGAACGCGUGUGUUGGUGUUGCAGUGGUACCGGAUCGGUUCCCCGAACGGCGAGAGGCCCGCGCGACUCGCGUUUAACACUGUCGAUCCAAUCGGCCGGUGGUGAUAUCGCGAGGGUGAAAUGGGUAUCGGUUGGCGCGUGCCGCGUCGCGGUGAACGUUGCGUCGCUGAUCGCCGACAGCGGCGCCAUAACGGGGUGCGUUCGCACGAGAUCGCAAGUGUGAGAGCAUAAAACGAAGAGGAGAAAAGGGUGCCGCGAAAUCGCCACAGAAAGUUCGCGGGCCUUCCGUUUCUUUCGCUCAGUGCCGUGUUCUUCGUUGCGUGCCCGCCACCGCGUAGCUGUGUGCCGUUGUGCCCCCGGCGGGAGAACGAGAGCGUGGCUCAGGAUUGAAAAUGUGAGCAAGGUGCUGUACCGGUUGGUCAACGGGACACCGGACGAUUUCGUUGACAAGGGAAAUAUUCGCGGAGACGAAUUUCAUCUGAAACUGCCACUCUCGUAUCUCCGAUAAAUCGAGUCAACAUUUAUCUCGAACGGAUGGAACAGCUUUCGAACCGCGUCCAUCUUCUGCCAAGGGUAUUAUGUAAAACUCCAUUGAUCCCGGCACGAUGGAGAAGAAUACCAGUCGAGAUGUUCUAUUUAUCUGAGAAAUGACACGAUCGCGGGAACACGGUUAAACGAUUCGGUUUGAAAUAAGAGUGACGAACGGCAACACAGACAGUAGAAAUGUUAUGGAUUAGUCAGCCAGAGUUACAAUUGCGUCAUGUGUAUAGAUAGACUUUCUGUUUCUUGUUCUGCAACAAUCUGGUAUUCGAACGUAAUCUUUGUAAUUGAACGUGUGCUCUGUACAGUGUUCUCAAUGAAAUUCUCCAAUGGCAAACAUUUCAAUUUUAAUAAUUUACGUAUGGACAUGCUUUUGUACUUUUCAAUUUUCAUUGCGAUAUUUAAUCAUUCUUUAUUAUAUUUUAUUGACAUUCGCUUAUUGUUUACUGUA